rnacentral:rRNA from 1 species
CAACANAGUUUGAUCCUGGCUCAGGAUGAACGCUAGCGGGAGGCCUAACACAUGCAAGCUGAGCGGUAGAGAUCUUUCGGGAUCUUGAGAGCGGCGUACGGGUGCGGAACACGUGUGCAACCUGCCUUUAUCAGGGGGAUAGCCUUUCGAAAGGAAGAUUAAUACUCCAUAAUAUAAUAGAUGGCAUCAUUUAUUAUUGAAAACUGAGGUGGAUAGAGAUGGGCACGCGCAAGAUUAGAUAGUUGGUGAGGUAACGGCUCACCAAGUCGAUGAUCUUUAGGGGGCCUGAGAGGGUGAUCCCCCACACUGGUACUGAGACACGGACCAGACUCCUACGGGAGGCAGCAGUGAGGAAUAUUGGACAAUGGGUUAGCGCCUGAUCCAGCCAUCCCGCGUGAAGGACGACGGCCCUAUGGGUUGUAAACUUCUUUUGUACAGGGAUAAACCUAUCUACGUGUAGAUAGCUGAAGGUACUGUACGAAUAAGCCCGGCU